rnacentral:rRNA from 1 species
UACGUAGGGUGCGAGCGUUGUCCGGAAUUACUGGGCGUAAAGAGCUCGUAGGCGGUUUGUCGCGUCUGCUGUGAAAACUGGAGGCUCAACCUCCAGCCUGCAGUGGGUACGGCGAAACUAGAGUGCGGUAGGGGAGAUUGGAAUUCCUGGUGUAGCGGUGGAAUGCGCAGAUAUCAGGAGGAACACCGAUGGCGAAGGCAGAUCUCUGGGCCGUAACUGACGCUGAGGAGCGAAAGCAUGGGGAGCGAACAGG